AAAUGUGGUUCCUUUAUGAAUAUUAUUACUUUUCAUUCGAACUUUUUUAAUAUUUCUGUUUAAAAAAAUGGACUGCAUGGUCUGCAUCACCUUGUAUAAGUAAAUGAAAUAAUAUGUAAUACCUAAUUAAUAAUAAUAUUAAAUAAUGAUUCAAGUAUACAAAAUAUGGCUAAUAGUGUAAUAAAUAAAACAGCCCUGACUAGAAAAAUCUUUAGGAAAUUUUAAUUUGCCAUCGUUGAAUAGAUGUAAGCUCUUGAAAUUCGCUGGACACUUCACCUCGACGAUGGCAUUUUCGUUUUUUAUUGUUUCAUUUGGACUUGCAACUAAGAAUCCAUACAUCCUACGGAUGAAUAGAGCUCAAGAGUUUGCUGGCAAGUUAUAUUUACUUUCAAAUUUUUUUAAUGCAAGCCAUUCAUAGUCUUGGCCAUGUUUAGUGUUAUUAUUUCUAGCAAAUUUCGAGUACAAGAUUGAUUUAACUUUAUUUAAGCAAGACGUGUCAUUUCUCAUCCUACAUACAUCACCAAAUCUCGAUGCAGUUAGGCACAGAUACCUUUCUUGGAUCCAUAUCUGAUUGGUACUUUAGCUUCUGUUGAAUGGAUUAUUCUCCACCAUCAGUAUUUGGUUCUGCAUCAUUUGUAUUAUUUAUCUUAUGGUAUCGCUUCAAAUAAUGUAUCGUUUUAAUUUUUACUGUGAUGGUUUAUUCUUUUUAAAUAAGUCCUUUUUAUGUGUGCCACAGUUUAUACAAUAAAAUUAAUAAAAUUUAACUUACCUUUCGGAAUGAAUACAUUUUUCAAUUGAAUCUCGGACUAUAAAAUAUGAAAUUUUAGAUUUUAUAAAAAUUUAUAUCGUAAAUUAUUACCGUCUAUUACUCCUUUUUCGAGAACAUCUUCAAAUGCUAAGGGGUAGUUUUUUAGAUGAACAUACUUACCCAUUGUUUAUAAAAACUUUACACAAACUAAAUUAAACUAACACUAUAGUACACAAUAAAAUAACAACUAUUGACUAUAAAUUCAAAAAUUUUGUUAAAUUACACAAUCAUUAGUAGAAAAUCACGGAAAAUAAAGUUCAAAACGUACUUUUGGAAAUGAUUAUUUUCUCUACCACAUUAAAAAGUAAUAGAUAAAACAAGGAGCUUCGAUGAAGAGAGUCGAUGUCAGCGCCGCUCAGUCGGCAGGAGGCGGGACUAACGCGGUGGUAAUACUUCGUGGGAAUCUUGACGGAAAAUAUUCAUUUUUACGCUACCUUUUUGCAAUUUUAGCAAAUUACAAACUAUUCCUUUAUAACUAAAAAUUUUGAAAAAAUUAUUUGAAAAAUGUUACUAUUUUCAAGUAUACUAUCAUGCAAGCUAAAAAAGAACGACCAAAUUCUAUAAUAUUGAGGAAAAAAACCCCUUUUUUUGGAAAACUUUAAAAAUUUUCACCAUGCGCUAUGUAGAAUUGUUAGAAGAAGCUAUGUACAAAAUUUCAUCCAAAUAUUUUCAUAAAUAAUGUAUGUUUUUUGUAAUUUGCCGAGCUGUAUGGUAAAGUAGCCUCUUAAACAAU